rnacentral:rRNA from 1 species
UACGUAGGGGGCAAGCGUUGUCCGGAAUCAUUGGGCGUAAAGCGCGCGUAGGCGGCCCGGUAAGUCCGCUGUAAAAGUCCAGGGCUCAACCCUGGAAAGCCGGUGGAUACUGUCGGGCUCGAGUCCGGAAGAGGCGAGUGGAAUUCCUGGUGUAGCGGUGGAAUGCGCAGAUAUCAGGAGGAACACCGAUGGCGAAGGCAGCUCGCUGGGACGGUGACUGACGCUGAGGCGCGAAAGCGUGGGGAGCGAACAGG